rnacentral:rRNA from 1 species
AACGGGUGAGUAACACGUGGGUGAUCUGCCCUGCACUUUGGGAUAAGCUUGGGAAACUGGGUCUAAUACCGAAUAUGACCACUUCUUGGAUGUUGUGGUGGAAAGCUUUUGCGGUGUGGGAUGAGCCUGCGGCCUAUCAGCUUGUUGGUGGGGUAAUGGCCUACCAAGGCGGCGACGGGUAUCCGGCCUGAGAGGGUGUACGGACACAUUGGGACUGAGAUACGGCCCAGACUCCUACGGGAGGCAGCAGUGGGGAAUAUUGCACAAUGGGCGCAAGCCUGAUGCAGCGACGCCGCGUGGGGGAUGAAGGCCUUCGGGUUGUAAACUCCUUUCGCUAUCGACGAAGCCACUUGUGGUGACGGUAGGUAGAUAAGAAGCACCGGCUAACUACGUGCCAGCAGCCGCGGUAAU